GGGACCUCUGGACACAUCGGGGAGCCUCACACACAAUAGCCUUUCUACCCAGAUGGGCCAUUCAUAUGACCCUGGGGUCGGGCCUGUUACACAGGAGAGAUCGAUGCUUCCUCCCAUGCAUCUGGUUUCUGGAGUUGCCAAAUAACAGGAGAGGAGCAGGGGGCUACUUGUCUUCACUCCACCCACGUGGGCACUGCAGCAAAUAGAGUCUCACAUCGAAGGAGGUGUGGCAAAGAGGACUCGGAGCGGGAGGCAGUAGGUCUGGGGCUGAUCCUACCACCGAGAGUGUGACUUUAGGGAAUCAAGAGGCACAGAGGCAGACACAGAGAGGGAAGACAGCCACAUGAAGACAGAGGCAGAGAUCAGAGUGGUGAAGCUGGAGGCCAAGGAGUGCUGAGGACUGCCAGCAACCUCCAGAAGGCGGGACACAGACACGGUGCAGGUCCUCCUCUGUGGCUCUCUGAAGAUGCACAGCCCCGCUAACACCUUGAUUUCAGAUUUCAGACUUCUGGCCUCAAGGACUACGAGAGAAUAAAUUUCUGUUGUUUCAAGGCA